rnacentral:rRNA from 1 species
UACGGAGGGUGCAAGCGUUGUCCGGAUUUAUUGGGUUUAAAGGGUGCGUAGGCGGCGCCUUAAGUCCGGGGUGAAAGACGGCCGCUCAACGGUCGCAGUGCCCUGGAUACUGAGGGGCUCGAGUACAGGCGAGGCUGGUGGAACGGGUGGUGUAGCGGUGAAAUGCAUAGAUACCAUCCAGAACACCGAUUGCGAAGGCAGCCAGCCAGACUGUUACUGACGCUGAGGCACGAAAGCGCGGGGAGCAAACAGG